rnacentral:lncRNA from 1 species
GACGAUUAUUGGCAAACACCUUACAUUGGAGAAUUUUUCCUGUAGGAAAGAGCUGAUAGAGGGAAAUGUAGAUCUGGUAGCUGAUACCAAUGAAAGAAGAGGACACAAAGCUGAAGGAAAUUGCCCUGCCAUGGCAAGAGGAUGGACAGCAUAACCAGAGGAGAACUGAUCCAGGAUAAAAGUGGAGGAAACUUGCUUUUGUAAAAUACCUACCUACAUGUGACAAUUUUAUAGGAUGAUGUCAAGAUUUGAAAUAAUUUUCUUAGUACCAGCAGUAAAGCUGCUGGAGAAUUUCCACACAGAAGCUACCAGUGCUUCUGAUGGGUUUCUGCUUCUCAGAAUUUGCAGGAGACAGAAAACAGAAAUCAAGGAUCUCUCUCUCCCUCCCUUCACUGAAACCAACAACCAAAACCCUACAGCAUUUAUAGGCUCUGAAUCUGAUUGAUCUUCUGAACUGGGGGAAGUAUAUCAUUUCUAAAGGUAUUUAUUUAGUUGCCUUGUACCUGGGGACAUCCCUUGUUGAUGAAGACCUUCAGAAAAACCUGUUUUAGCUUUAAUUUUUCAUUACAGAGAGACGUGAUCCACUUUUUGGCUAUUUCAUUCUAAAGGACACCAGCUGAGCACCCAGCCCAGAAUGUCUGACAAGUCAGUUCAGUGCAACUGGUACCAGUCUGGAGAAAGCAGGGUGGGUCCUGAAGCUUCUGGAAAUACUGGAAGUAACAGACAGUUGGAUGGGUAUGACAGCAACCACCCAGCCUCCAGCUGGCCCUGAGCACAGUCACAGCUUCCAGGUACCUGUUUGCAAAAUGUCGUGCAGAGAUGCCAUCAGCUACCUGAGCUCCCACGUAGCAGGUACAGCCUUCAGUGUGGUGAUAUUAGGGGAAGAGCUGAACCAGCAUCUUGCUUUAUUUGGCUUCAUUUCAGGAAUACAGAGAACUGCAAAGUGGGCAUGCCUGGGAGGCAACAGAAGUGACUGAGGUUCAAGGUCGAAACUAAAGCACGGACAUGAGCUUCCUCACCAGGGUGAGCAAUACAGGGAAACUUCAGGUGGGCUAAAACUUCCCUGGAAGGUUUCUGAUGUCCCAUCCGGGUCCCCGUGACUUCUGAAGGUAGGAUGAAGGGAGUCACAGAAUAAGAAGGGUGUUAGCAAAAAAUUUGUAUGCCACAGAAGGUUGUGCAAUGAUCUGCUUGAUGCUUUGCAUGCUGCUUCUCUGAGUGUCCCCAAAGUUAAC